AGAUGGCCCAGGGGCGACAAAAGGUAUGGUACGAUCAUGGGAUCAGGUUCGGGCCGCUGGCCUGACCUUGAAACCAGACAAAUGCCAUUUGGGCAUGCCUGAUGUAAAAAGUCCCAAAAUAUAAAAUCAACCUGUAGGAUGCUUGAAUAUCCUGGGUACCUGGGACACCGGGUGGGAUGUGGGAAACCGACCAGAACCUGCUAAAAUUGAGGCGGUCGCCAGCUGGC